CUCCAGUGUGUGUUCUCUUAUGUUGAAUUAGGUUGGUUGGGUCAGAAAAUCUUUUGUUGCAAACAUCACAUUCAUAAGGUUUCUCUCCAGUGUGUGUUCUCUUAUGUUUAAUUAGGGAGCUUGGGUCAGAAAAUCUUUUGUUGCAAACAUCACAUUCAUAAGGUUUCUCUCCAGUGUGUGUUCUCUUAUGUUUAGUUAGGAUGCUUGGGUCAGAAAAUCUUUUGUUGCAAACAUCACAUUCAUAAGGUUUCUCUCCAGUGUGUGUUCUCUUAUGUUUAGUGAGGGUGCUUGAGUCAGAAAAUCUUUUGUUGCAAACAUCACAUUCAUAAGGUUUCUCUCCAGUGUGUGUUCUCUUAUGGCUAGCUAAAAUGCCUGAUCGCAAAAAUCUUUUGUUGCAAACAUCACAUUCAUAAGGUUUCUCUCCAGUGUGUGUUCUCUUAUGGCUAGCUAAAAUGUCUGAUCGCAAAAAUCUUUUGUUGCAAACAUCACAUUCAAAAGUUUUGUUCCCAGUGUGUGUUCUCCUAUGUCUUGCCAAAUUUCCUUUCUCAGAAAGUACCUUGUUACAAACAUCACAUUUCGUAGACAUCAGUUUCAGCUUUUGAUCUUUUCCCCGUACGGUCAAAUUUCGAUUGAAAAUAUCACCUAACUGUUCCCACGAGUCUGCCUUUAUUGAAUCUGUAUAAUACUUCGGUUCUUACAGAAUUUCUGAUCAUAAAAACGAGAGUAUUCCAAGACACAGUUUGCAAACAACACGUGUAUCAAAAU